rnacentral:siRNA from 1 species
GAACUGUAGACGUAAGGUGGUGGU